CAGAGAACUGUUUAUAUUGUAGUUUAAUUUGACAUCAGGUCAUAUUUUAUCAGGUCACAUCAGGUUAAAUGUGAAAGAAUUCACAGAGAAUUCAAAGAGUUGGCUUUAAAUGAUUACUUGUCCUGCAUUUUAUCGGUUUAGAGGUGGUCUUUCCAGUAAACAAAGUGUCACUCUAAUUGUGUAGAACUAUUUCCAUAGACAGUGCUGAUAACAAGAAAUACAAACCUGAUUUUUUGUGCAUUUUAAAGCCAAUAUCCAACAAUAUACACACAUUCGCUCCAGUUGUUGUAUCCAUCAGCCAGUGGAAAAACUGUGACUUUAUACCUGCUUCUUAUUAGGUCUGUCGUCCAUUUAAUGCUGUGGAUCCAGGUGGUUUUUUUGUACUGUUUUCAGCUUUCUUUCUGUACAAAAAAACAGAUGCUUUGAGCAAAUGGAAAAAAUGCUAAGCAAUGACGCAACAACUCGAAAGUUGGGUUGUGGCCAAAACAAAAAGUCUAGCAGUGAGCUGACGGCUGCUGUUAGGCUUCCUAGACAUGAGUUUCUGCAGACAGUUGUCGGUUAAUUAUUCUCUGUGGUUUCAGUAAAUGCUCCAUUAGUGGCUUUAUAAGAGGAGCUGUUUGUCAUCAUGGUGACCUACUCUAUGUGUUCACCUUUAAAACACACAUGAAACAGGUUGGAUGCCACUGUCGGAUGACGCAGUGAGAGAGAGGUAGACAUUGCAGGACAGUGCCGCGUUGCUACAGAAUUGCUUUUUCUUUUGCUAUUGUGUAUGUGCAGGUAGAACAGAGAGACAUCAGUCAUCGCCACGCUGCAUCUGAUGUGAGUUUAUUUGCUUUCUCAUAGAUUCCUGUUUGGAGACCACGCAAACAGCCCGAGGGAGUAAAUUCUUCUUCUUACCAAAGUGACAUCUCUAUGGAAGCUCCUGGGACACCUGGAAAAUCCUGGAAAAGGUUUGGCCCAACAAACUCUAGCUGAGAGCCAGAAGUGAGUCAAAGCCCGAAGAGAAAGAAACAGAGAAGAUAUUCUCUGGUCCACGUCUGGGAGUCCUGCUUUGGACCAGGUAGGUUUGUCUGGGGUUCACGGAACGACUUACUGAUCAGAUGUUGGAUACCAAAUGUGGGCCACAAAAGGCCUAUUACUCAUGACAUAUGUUGGCCAGUUUGUAAAAAUACUGAGUGCAAUGACACGGGUACAAACAGCAAAAGCAAAACAGUUAUUUCCAGCUGUUCAACAGACCUCUGAUUCCUGACACACUCAGUCCAAGAGCUUAGAGUUACACUGUAGAAUAUUCAUAUAUAUAUAUAUAUUUUUAAAACAUCCACAAAUGAACGACCAUCAGACAUUGCACAUUUUUAGGUCAUGUUAACACUCUAAAGUGCACAUAGCUCCCCCUGCUGGAGGAAAAACGAGACAAUACUGGCAAAUUCACACUAAGGCAACACAGUUACAAACACACUAAGGUACACACAGUCACAUACUGGCACUUAUUCACACACACACACAUACGUACAAAUAAAUAAAUAAAACAAACACACACACACACAAACACACACACGUGCAGGGCUUCAGAGUCAAACGUGGCUUUGCAUAAUCUUCAAACGUCUCAUUGUUUGUCUUAAACUCAGGAAAUCUGUCAAUGUCUUUAAAGCCAUGUCCCUGACACACACACACACACACACGGACGCAGAGUAUUUUGGACUACUGGGAUGAAAAUACAAGUACUCUAUAUUGGUGAUAGAGAAAAUAUGAAUACUUUUACCUCACAAAUAUUCUCUGGUUAUACAGUAUGUCUUAUAUACACGUGUGUAUACACACAGAUAUGUACUCAGGACAUCUUGAAAUACUAUUUACACUCUAUGAUCAAAAGUGAUUGUACACUGAGCGACCAUGUUGAGCAAAAUUGUGCUUUUCUAACUUGUUCUAAUGGGAAAAUGCUACAGACCCCCUGGUUGGUUAAAACCACGGUUCAUGCUCUAACGGCUAGCCUGGUGUAGCUCUAGUUUAGUUAUUUUAGCUAACUCUACGGUAUACAUUUGGUUUGUAGAACUUGAUUAUCGUUUAUAUAUAUAUAUAUAUCAUACACUGGAACUCACUCUAUAAUUUAGGAUAUUUUGCAGUAUCUAUACUGUAGAUUGGACCCACACUGGAGUAUUGCUUGUGAAUGAACGAAUACUUGUGAAAUCUGAGUUGCAAUGCUCUUAGGGAUCGUCCCCUGGUAUUAAGUGCAAGUGAUGUCAAGUCAACGAUAGCUGCAAAACAGGAGAGGUUUCUAGACGCAAUUAUUGCCCAUUUCCAGUUUCUCCAAAUUCAUCUAUUCCGCAGUAAGUGCUCAUCCAAAACUCACUUCGAAAAAAACAAACCCUGUACGCAAGUAACACAGUUGGAGUAUUACAUAUUUAAAGUUUUAAUCCUCAAGAUUUGGGUAUUUUUUAAAAAUACUGUAAAACCACCUCAGGAAAAUGAUUCGUUGUAAGGCUACUUCAGACUAGUGGACAGGUGUAGUACUACAACAGAAACAAACCAACUCCAGAUCAUAGCUCUGAACGACGUGGAGGUCAGGAUACAUGCGUGGCGGAGUAUUCGAAAAAAUGUAAAGUACCCUUUUAUUUAGUAUCGACGGCAGUGGCUCUAAACCUUGGAGUCUGGUCUCCUGAAGGAUCCCAAAGACCUGAGAUGAUUCUAAAGGCAGCAUUUGGAUCCCUUCCACGUCACGGCCUGACCUGGAUAAAGUUCCACAAGCUAAAAACCCUGAUCUAAAAUGUUGAUGUCAAGAAAUCCCCACGGACAAUUUCGACCAAAA